rnacentral:rRNA from 1 species
GGCGAACGGGUGAGGAUCACGUGAGAAACCUGCCCCAGACUUUGGGAUAACAAUUGGAAACGAUUGCUAAUACCGAAUGACGUCGGAGAACCGCAUGGUUCACUGACGAAAGGAAAUCCGGUUUGGGAGGGUCUCGCGGCCUAUCAGCUUGUUGGUGGGGUAAUGGCCUACCAAGGCAACGACGGGUAGCUGGUCUGAGAGGAUGAUCAGCCACACUGGGACUGAGACACGGCCAGACUCCUACGGGAGGCAGCAGUGGGGAAUCUUGCGCAAUGGGCGAAAGCCUGACCCAGCGACGCCGCGUGCGGGAUGAAGGCCUUCGGGUUGUAAACCGCUUUCAGUAGGGAAGAAGCGAAAGUGACGGUACCUACAGAAGAAGCACCGGCUAACUAUGUGCCAGCAGCCGCGGUAAUACAUAGGGUGCAAGCGUUGUCCGGAAUUAUUGGGCGUAAAGAGCUCGUAGGUGGUUCGUUACGUCGGAUGUGAAAAUCUGGGGCUCAACCCCAGACCUGCAUCCGAUACGGGCGAGCUAGAGUUUGGUAGGGGAGACUGGAAUUCCUGGUGUAGCGGUGGAAUGCGCAGAUAUCAGGAGGAACACCAAUGGCNAAGGCAGGUCUCUGGGCCAAUACUGACACUGAGGAGCGAAAGCGUGGGGAGCGAACAGGAUUAGAUACCCUGGUAGUCCACGCCGUAAACGGUGGGCGCUAGUUGUGGGAACCUUCCACGGUUUCUGCGACGCAGCUAACGUAUUAAGCGCCCCGCCUGGGGAGUACGGUCGCAAGAUUAAAACUCAAAGGAAUUGACGGGGCCCCGCACAAGCAGCGGAGCAUGCGGCUUAAUUCGACGCAACGCGAAGAACCUUACCAAGGCUUGACAUAUACAGGAAUAUGGCAGAGAUGUCAUAGCGGUAAAACGUCUGUAUACAGGUGGUGCAUGGUUGUCGUCAGCUCGUGUCGUGAGAUGUUGGGUUAAGUCAGAUAACGAGCGCAACCCUCGUGCUUUGUUCGGGCUUACGCCCUGUCGAAGCAGACUGCUGGUGAGAAAUCAGAGGAAGGUGAGGAUGAUGUCAAGUCAGCAUGCCCCUUACGCCCUGGGCUACACACGUGCUACAAUGGCCAACACAAAGAGAUGCAAAGGGGCGACCCCAAGCCAACCUCAAAAAAUUGGUCUCAGUUCAGAUUGCAGGCUGAAACUCGCCUGCAUGAAGGUGGAAUCGCUAGUAAUCGCCGGUCAGCUAUACGGCGGUGAAUCCGUUCCCGGGCUUUGUACACACCGCCCGUCAAGUCAUGGGAG